rnacentral:rRNA from 1 species
GAUGAACGCUGGCGGCGUGCCUAAUACAUGCAAGUCGAGCGAACAGACGAGGAGCUUGCUCCUCUGACGUUAGCGGCGGACGGGUGAGUAACACGUGGAUAACCUACCUAUAAGACUGGGAUAACUUCGGGAAACCGGAGCUAAUACCGGAUAAUAUUUUGAACCGCAUGGUUCAAUAGUGAAAGACGGCUUUGCUGUCACUUAUAGAUGGAUCUGCGCCGUAUUAGCUAGUUGGUAAGGUAACGGCUUACCAAGGCAACGAUGCGUAGCCGACCUGAGAGGGUGAUCGGCCACACUGGAACUGAGACACGGUCCAGACUCCUACGGGAGGCAGCAGUAGGGAAUCUUCCGCAAUGGGCGAAAGCUUGACGGAGCAACGCCGCGUGAGUGAUGAAGGUCUUCGGAUCGUAAAACUCUGUUAUUAGGGAAGAACAAAUGUGUAAGUAACUAUGCACGUCUUGACGGUACCUAAUCAGAAAGCCACGGCUAACUACGUG